AUGUUCCGGCUGCUUCAGGAUGCCGCCGCUGUAGCGGUUCCGCAGCUCUGCGUAGGAGCCGGUGGUUCCCGAAAGAAAGAGCGUCUGUCUUGGCCAGCGUGGAAGACAGAAUAAACACAUUGGACAAUUGCUCUUUCCAUGGGAAAGAACCUAAGCUCCUCUUCUGUGCCUGAAAAACUACCAUUUCACUCCACGUCCAAUGACGUCAACUCCAAAGCCAGCUAAAAUCCUCAGUUCAACCAGGCAAGUGACAUCACUGAAGGCUGGAGGAAAAGGAAAGAGAAAUAUAGCACAGAGAAUAACUAGUCACCCAGCCUGCCUCUGCAGGGCAUACGCAGGCUCCCGACCACCUGGGAGUUCCAGACAUUCCGUGGAUUGAUGGAGAUGAAAAGUUGGUUUUCACUUCCCUUUUUCAGCUGUGCCUAAGCCUCCUCUCCCGAGUCGUCAUUUCCUGGACCAACCUCUUCUUAAAAUGACUGACAGUGGGGGCCUCAAGCUCUGCGGGGUGCGGACGAAUCCUCCAGCCUGCACAAGAGACCCGUGAAAUAGUCCUAUACCAGGCACACUCUGUUUCUAAGUUGUGCAGCCUCACAUGAUCCCACAGGUGGGACACCUCUUAACCCAGGUGAGGCAAGACUGAGCUAAAUUCAGUCCAAUUUCUUUUCAGGCUCUUCCAUUAAGGUUGAAAAGAUCUUGGGGUCCAUUCUCUCCUAAAGUCUCCCAGUUUCAGUAGGUACCGUCAUGCCCAUUUUACAGAUAAGAAAACAGAGGCUCUGAGAAGUUAAGGACUUGGUCAAGGCCAUACCUCAAUAAGUGCCAGAAAUUUCCACCAUUCCUACAAAUUCAGAAUUCCUAACAUAAAAAUCAUCCUGACCUACCCCUCCAACCAGACAGGAACAGCUGGACUCGACCCUCACCUUGUCUCAGCACACGACUCACCCUUCAGUCUCAUCAAAAUGAACGUUGACUCUUCUCUCCAAAUUGCGGAGGGAGGCCUCCAAUAAAUUUCCAAUCAUCCUCUCAGCACACAGAAACUACAUAAAUUAUAUUUAAUAGCAUUAACCUACUUUAUAAUGACUCUCCA